CCAUUUAUAUCAAGCAUCAUUAACUUAAUUUUGUCUUCCAUGGUUUUAUUUAUGAUAGGGUCUAGUUGAUCUUAUCAUUUUUAACU